UACGAAGGGGGCUAGCGUUGUUCGGAAUCACUGGGCGUAAAGGGCGCGUAGGCGGCUUGACAAGUCAGGUGUGAAAGCCCCGGGCUCAACCCGGGAAUUGCACUUGAUACUGUCUCGCUAGAGUCCGGGAGAGGAUGGCGGAAUUCCCAGUGUAGAGGUGAAAUUCGUAGAUAUUGGGAAGAACACCGGUGGCGAAGGCGGCCAUCUGGACCGGUACUGACGCUGAGGCGCGAAAGCGUGGGGAGCAAAC
rnacentral:rRNA from 1 species